UUGUCUUAGGACAUUUUUAUCCUUAACACCUGUGAACUAUUGUAAUUUUUUGCUUUGGUCCUUCGGGGCCAGAGGAUUUAAUCAAAACCUUUUAUUAUUAACCUGAGUCUGAAAAUUGAAAAAUUGAAUUAUUCAAAACUUUCAACAACGGAUCUCUUGGUUCUCGCAUCGAUGAAGAACGCAGCGAACUGCGAUAAGUAAUGUGAAUUGCAGAAUUUUGUGAAUCAUCGAAUCUUUGAACGCACAUUGCGCCUUUUGGUAUUCCAGAAGGCAUACCUGUUUGAGAGUCAUUUCUUCCUCAAUCCUCGGAUUGGUGUUGAUUCGAGCGUUGCGAAACGCUGAGUCGAAAAGAAUUGGCAGGCAGGAAUUCAGUGCUUUACAGUGUCUUAGGUUUUACCAACUACGCUGGCCUAGUAACUGUUUUCUGAGCUGGCCUUUAUAACAGUUCUUUUAAAAGUUUGACCUCAAAUCAGGCAAGACUACCCGCUGAACUUAAGCAUAUCAAUAAGCGGAGGAAAAGAAACCAACCGGGAUUGCCCUAGUAACGGCGAGCGAAGCGGCAAAAGUCCAAAUUUGAAAUCUGGCGUCCUACGGGCGUCCGAGUUGUAAUUUGAAGAUGGUAACUUUGGGUUUGGCUCUUGCAUAAGUUCCUUGGAACAGGACGUCAUAGAGGGUGAGAAUCCCGUUCAUGGUAAGAUGCCCAUUCCUUUGUAAAGUGCCUUCGAAGAGUCGAGUUGUUUGGGAAUGCAGCUCUAAGUGGGUGGUAAAUUCCAUCUAAGACUAAAUAUUGGCGAGAGACCGAUAGCGAACAAGUACAGUGAUGGAAAGAUGAAAAGAACUUUGAAAAGAGAGUGAAAAAGUACGUGAAAUUGUUGAAAGGGAAGGGCUUGAAGUCAGACUUGGUAUUCAGUGAUCAACUGUCUUUCGGGACUGUGCACUCGCUGUUUACUGGGCCAACAUCGGUUUUGGCGGCGAGAUAAAUGCAUUGGAACGUGGCUCUAUCUUCGGGUGGAGUGUUAUAGCCUUUGUAAAUAUCGCCAGCUGGGACCGAGGACUGCGCAUCUGCUAGGAUGUUGGCGUAAUGA
rnacentral:rRNA from 1 species